UAGAUUCAAAUCGAAUACAUUUUCUCUGCACCGUCCGGUUCCGACCACCUCCGAGGAGCAACCGUAUAGGCUUUAGUGAAACCCAUAGACAAGACACGAAAGCCCCUCUUGUAUACAUAAGCUCUUGUCUUGAACAAAGGUUACGAACUAUAGUCGACACGAGAUACAAAUCCAACAAUAUCAACUUGAUAAUCACGAUGUUACAAAUUCGAAGUAGUCAAUAUUGUAUCCGGCAAAGCUCGUCACUCUCUUUGGGCUAUAUUUGAUAAAUGGGCUUAACUUAAUGGGCCUUAAAACCUACUUCUACGGCUUUCCCGCCAAAAACUCCUCAUUUCCGCUUAAGCUCACCACCAGAUUCCGAUUUGCCACUUCUGUUCUCCGCCGCACACCAAUCCCUAGAUUAGGAAAUGGAAUUCGAUAUCCCAUUGCCGGAGGAGCUUGAGCUUCUCGAAGCCAACUCUUACUAUCCCGAAGAAGAAGAUGAUGACUACCUAAACUUCGAGGAGGCGCCGUAUCCUUACCCAAUCGACGGCGAUGAAGAAAAAGAAGAAGAAGAAGAGGAGGAGAUCGCGCAGAAGGAGUCUAAUCUCCAACAAUCGGAAUCUCCUGAUAUCAACGGCUGUAAACGACCCAGGAGUCUAGUGUCCGAUCCGAUUGUCAAUCUCGACGAAGCUUCUGAGAAGAGAAGCAAAGUUAAUGAUAAUCGAGUAGAGAUGGAAGACGAGGAAUGGCUGCGAUUCUCUCCGGUUAAGGAAGCGGUACAAAUCAUGGAGGAGGAAGAAGAAGUCAUUUCCCAGGAGACUGUCUUGUCCAGAUACGCUUCUGAGAUAGACGGGGAAUGCUUUCCGAUUACGGCACCGGACGGAGGAGACAGGGUUUAUGCGAAAUUCUCUCGAGCUUUGGGAGAUGAAGAGGUGAAGAGAUUCCAUCUAAAAGCCAAAUCUAACGGUCUUAUCAAAGAUCCUAUCAGUGUUCUUCUACAACAAUCAGAAAAUGAGUCAUUUAACAAGGCCUUGCAAACUAGUUCCGAGGAUCAGAAUGAAGCCAUGACUGCAGAAACUUCUGUAAUGCAUGAAAAGCGCUGGGUGGACAAAUAUUCUCCGAGCUCAUUUACUGAGCUUCUCAGUGAUGAGCAGACCAACCUGGAGGUUCUUCUAUGGCUUAAGCAGUGGGAUGCUUCUGUUUUUGGAUCUGAAAUUAGGAGCACGACGGAUGAAGUACUGUCAGCUUUGAAACGACAUUCUACACCAAGUCAUCGUCAAAAAUCAGAUUCAGCUUUCACGAGGAAAAAAACAUUUCAGUAGAUGGAGUAAGGAAAGUUCUACAUAUCCUAAAGAUUCAGACGUGAGCAAUAGCAACACUACAGAUAAUCAUGACAUGAGGAACAAAAAGUCAAAACUUAUUGGUCCUCCAGAGCAGAAGAUCCUUCUGCUUUGUGGGCCCCCAGGGCUUGGAAAGACUACACUUGCUCAUGUUGCAGCUAAGCAUUGUGGAUAUCGCGUUGUUGAGAUCAAUGCUAGUGACGAGCGAUCAGCAGCAGCCAUUGAAACUAGAAUUCUUGAUGUAGUUCAGAUGAACUCAGUUACGGCUGAUUCUAGGCCUAAGUGUUUGGUGAUUGACGAGAUAGAUGGAGCUCUUGGUAAUGGAAAAGGAGCAGUAGAUGUUAUUCUAAAGAUGGUGUUGGAGGAAAGGAAGAAUGCUACAGGCAAGGAAAAUAUAGAUAAUGGGAAGACUUCCUCAAAGAAGGAGCGGCGAACAGCACCACUAUCAAGACCUGUCAUUUGUAUAUGUAAUGACUUAUAUGCACCAGUUUUUAGACCUCUGCGACAAAUAGCGAAGGUUCAUAUAUUUGUUCAACCAACAGUGAGUCGUGUGGUUAAUAGGCUCAAGUAUAUUUGUAAUAUGGAGGGGAUGAAAACAAGAUCAUUCGGUCUUAGUGCACUUGCUGAUUACACUGAAUGCGACAUACGCUCUUGCUUGAACACACUGCAGUUUCUCAACAAGAAGAAUGAAACCCUCAACGUGAUCGACAUUGGUUCUCAAGUUGUUGGGCGGAAAGACAUGUCAAAGAGUCUGUUUGAUAUCUGGAAAGAGAUAUUCAACAAGAGAAAAAUGAAACGAGAGCGAUCUAACGACGCAUCUGGCAGUGAUGCCAAAAAAUUUGAUUUCUUACACUCCCUCGUAUCCACACGGGGUGAUUAUGAUUUGAUUUUCGAUGGAAUACAUGAAAACAUCUUGCAGCUUCAGUACCAUGAUCCGGCGAUGGACAAAACAGUUAGCUGCUUGGACUGUCUUGGAACUUCUGAUUUGCUGCAUCGAUAUAUUAUGCGCACCCAGCAAAUGUCUCUCUACGUUUAUGUUCCUAGCCUGGUGAUACCUAUACACGGUCGAGUUGCCCAUAUUCAAAGACCAGCUAUUCAGUGGCCUAAGUCAUACCACAGAUGUCGAACGCUUUUGGUGGAAAAACAGUAGUCCCUGCGGUCUUGGCACCACAAGAUACCUCCCUAUAUUGGGAGGCAUUUGUCGAUCAAGUCUUUCGUUGAAGACUCUGUUUCCCCGCUAUUGCAUAUUCUUUCUCCCCCAACUCAUAGACCAGUGGCAUCACAUUUGCUAUCAGAGAGGGAAAAGGAUCAGCUGGCGAGUUUGGUCAUGCUUAUGCAUUCUUAUUCUUUAACUUAUAAGACUGUGAAACUUGAUCCUGCUCUGAGUAACCCCAGGGAGAGCGCUGCGUCAGAUGCUUCAGUCCUUGCUUUAGAUCCACAUCUAUUUGAUUUCAUAAGUUUCAAGGGUCGCCAAAUUAAACAUCACGUACUCACCUUAGCAAUGAAACAAGUGUUAGUACAUGAAGUUGAGAAGCAGAAGAUACUACUGCAAGCAAGUGAAGGAAGGUCCGGGAUCUUGAGCAAACCCGAGAUUAAGAAAACAAAUCCAGACUUAGUCAGGAAAACUAUAGCUGCGUCAAAUGAGAGUCACAGACAUCCAGUUACCUCGAAACCUCCAUCAGUCUCAGUUGCAAAUGCCACCACUUCAAAACCCAAAUCUAGUGAUGUGAAGAAAGCAUCUCGCAACGCCGUUAAUUUCUUCGACAGGUUUAGGAAGUCGAGGAAAGAUUAUGAAGAUCCAGAGGAUGUACAAAAGAGAGCAACUGCAAAAAGAAAUUCACGCCCUCUUCUCUUCAAGUUCAACGAGGGUUUCACGAAUGCUGUGAAGAGACCGGUUAGAAUGCGGGAGUUUCUACUGUGAUCUUCUAUUGGGGGAAAGUCUUAAAAAGUUGGUGCAAAAUUAAAGUUUUUACUUACUCUUCCGUCCAAAGGGAUUAAGUUUUGUGUAUAAACUGUAGCUUUUCAAUAUUUCUAAUAUUUUUACAAUUUUUCUUGUUAAUUAAAUAAUUGUUACUAUGUCAUGUUUAUAGGUAAUUAUUUAAGGAAAAAAAAUACUAUUAAAUAACAAUUGUCCUUUUAAAUUUAAAAUGUUAGUAAGAAGAGGCAAGAGGGUGUCCGAUUCCUAAUGCGUGAAGCGAAAAAAAUAAGUUAAAAAGGGUAUUUAUUUAUUGGUACAAAGGCCCAAACGUAAAGCCUAAUUUAAGAGAGAGCAUCUUCGUAUACCUUUUGCGUCUGCGACUUUAGUAGUCUACAGAUUCAAAUUCGAGGUUUUAAAAUUAAAAAUCAGAGAUGAUGAAGCAUGUCAUCGUGGCUGGUGUUUUCGCGAUGAUGAUCCCCUUCGCCUUCCCCGAUGCGCUAGCUCCAGCUCUCUUCUGCGUCUUCGUCGCCUUCUGCUCGCUGUUGUGCCUUGCGAUAGCAUCGAAGAAGAAAAAAACCGCCGAUCCCAGGGUUGCGCGACUUAUUGAGAACAUGGAUAAUCUCCAAGCAAUCGCUCUCAUGGCGGUUAUGCUCAAACCAGACGCCGCUGAGACGGAAGAGCUCUACGAGGCGGCGGCUGUGACAGAAGAGAUCUUGCCAAGCUCUGUGAUCUCGUGAAAGAGUUUGGGGAUGAUCAGAGCCAAGGAAGGAAGGAAGGAAGAGACCGUAGACCGUAUCGUAUAAUAUUAAUAAGUGUUUUUAGAGUUUGGGGAUGAUCGUGUUGCUGUUCUUCUAUCUCUUUCGUUGUUGGCUGCAAAAUCUAUAAUUACAUUUAACAAAAUCUCCUUUUAUUGUAUCUCUUCUUUAAUCUAAAUUAGGCUUUCAAAUCCAA